rnacentral:tRNA from 2 species
GCGCGGAUGGUCUAGUGGUAUGACGACUUUUUUUAUAUAUUGAAAUAAAGAACGUCUAACGCUCACACUUAUAAUUCGGGAGUAAACCGUGUAGAUCGGGGGUUCAAACCCCCCUCCGCGCA